GGUUCCAGUGGAGCACCUGCUGCAACUUCCACAGGAGCUGGAGACGAACGCACAGCUUUCACAACAGUCUCAGGUUCCAUGGGAAACAUCCGUGGCCUGACAACUUCCAAAGCAAAAGUCACUCUGCCACCAAAUCACAGAGCAGCAGCUACUACCACGCCUCUCCCUGGCACAACGCAUGCCCCAGGAACCUCCACCACAGGUGAGAAGUGGACGGGUAGCAUUUGCCAGGGAGGACCACUCCUCUGGAACCAUUUGUUCAGGCUCUGUUUCUAGGCCAUGCAAUCAGUGCAGUCAUCUGCCAACUAAAACUCUCAAUCAGGCUCAGUGGCCUGCGUCAUGCCCCUUGACCAA